CGUCUCAAAAAAAAAAAAAAAAAAAAAGUUUAAAGGGAAAAAAAAAAGAGAGAGAUGAGGAAGGGAGCCCACAUUGGCCGGACCCGGAGGCUCAGUGAUCCUCCCACGGCUGUUUCCAGAGUAGCGGGAACCUGAUGCAUCCCUGCACUGUUUAAGCAGCAGGUGGUGACCUCCUCCCGGGCCUGAGCACUCCACCCCGCAUCCCAGGCCGUGACCCUAAGAGAGUUUCCAAAGCUGAGCCCAGGGUGAACACUCCCUCCCAAGUGAACGGAAAAUAGAAACGGAGAGAAUUUCUAUUCUGUUCUGUGGGCCGCCAGCAUGAAAUCGUACGUUCCGCCCAGGUAGGGCUUUGCAUUUCAAGCGUUCUUGCCCGGUCUUCUCUCCAAAACCUGAAAAAUAAAGGCGCGGGGAGCGAGCCUCAGAGAGGCACAGGUUCAAACCCUUAUGGUCCUCUGGUUUCUAAAGGCAAGGUCUCUCCGCCUCGGGCCUCGCGCCCACUUCGCCAGGACCCCGCCCACCUCCACGUGGGUUCCGCCCACCUCCACGUGAACCCCGCCCACGUCACGUGGGUCCCGCCCAGGCCUGGCUUCCGUCCUGCGCGCGCAGACUCUUACAAACCGGAAGCGGAUCGCGUGAAGGGGAGGUCACGCCGCAGCUCGAUUGACUUCUAAAGACUCUUGAUACGUGAGGACGAAACCCGGAAGAGGAAGAAGGAAGCAAAGGAGCCAGGGAUGGCUCUUCCUCAGGUGAGAUGAUCUUCUCCAUCUAUUGUUCUGUCUCCUUCCUUUCAGAAAUGCUGGGCCUUGGAGUUGGGAAUCUUCUCUGAGUCUGAAGCGUCCUGCCUGACAGGUUUGCUGGCACUCACCCAUGCCUUCCCUCAGUCCCUCUCAUCUCACUUAGAUUCCAUCUCUGGUGACCCAGUGACAUGAGCUUGGGAAGAGGCUGCACUGGGCAUGGUCCUGGGAAGGGCUCACCUCAGAUGUGGAUGGAGAUGGGGUGUGGGCCCCGUGGUGUCAGGGCUGCUGGGCAGCAGGGAUUGUUCAGGGGCCACAUCGGGAUGCUCCAUCAGCUCUCUGUAGACCAGGAGUAGAGCAGCUGCCCAUGGAAGUUACGUAUUAAUGUGCACAAAGGACGUGGUAAAUUUUCUGAAAGGUGACCAGUAAGGGGAAAUCUUUUCUGCCUGAUUUUAUGCUACAUGUUUAGGUAAUUAAGUGAAUUGUUAGGUUUCUGACUCCAAAAAUCUUACUCAAAAUGGAAAGUUCAGACAUGAAUGAUACAAGGUGUUUUAUCCCAUCAUUCUUUUAAGCAUAUGAAACCAACGUAAAUAAUAGCAGGAGAUUCAUUAAACCAUUCUUAGUGCAUUAAGCUCAUGGAGACCGUGGUGUUACUGUGAGAGGCUUGUGAAACAGGUGUUUUUGGUAUCAGUAGUUAUGAUUUUUCUCAAAUAGGGGAGCAGUACUUCUUUAUCCUAAAGGAUGGAGCCAUGUUCUCAUUCCACCUAUCAUCGUCAUCAUCAUCAACAUCAUCAACAUCAUUUAUUAUUUGAGAUGGAGCCUCCCUGUGUUGCCCAGACGGAAGUGUCGUGGCAUGGUCUCGGCUCA
rnacentral:lncRNA from 1 species